rnacentral:rRNA from 1 species
UACGUAGGGUGCAAGCGUUGUCCGGAAUUAUUGGGCGUAAAGAGCUCGUAGGCGGUUUGUCGCGUCUGCUGUGAAAACCCGAGGCUCAACCUCGGGCCUGCAGUGGGUACGGGCAGACUAGAGGUAUGCAGGGGAGAAUGGAAUUCCUGGUGUAGCGGUGGAAUGCGCAGAUAUCAGGAGGAACACCGAUGGCGAAGGCAGGUCACUGGGCCGCAACUGACGCUGAGGAGCGAAAGCAUGGGGAGCGAACAGG